GACGAACGCUGGCGGCGUGCUUAACACAUGCAAGUCGAGCGAUGAAGUUCCUUCGGGAACGGAUUAGCGGCGGACGGGUGAGUAACACGUGGGUAACCUGCCUCAUAGAGGGGAAUAGCCUUUCGAAAGGAAGAUUAAUACCGCAUAAGAUUGUAGUUUCGCAUGAAACAGCAAUUAAAGGAGUAAUCCGCUAUGAGAUGGACCCGCGUCGCAUUAGCUAGUUGGUGAGGUAACGGCUCACCAAGGCGACGAUGCGUAGCCGACCUGAGAGGGUGAUCGGCCACAUUGGGACUGAGACACGGCCCAGACUCCUACGGGAGGCAGCAGUGGGGAAUAUUGCACAAUGGGGGAAACCCUGAUGCAGCAACGCCGCGUGAGUGAUGACGGUCUUCGGAUUGUAAAGCUCUGUCUUCAGGGACGACAAUGACGGUACCUGAGGAGGAAGCCACGGCUAACUACGUGCCAGCCGCCGCAGUAAUAC
rnacentral:rRNA from 1 species